AUGAAAAGAGACUGGGAGGAGGAGGAUUUAGAGCAGGGUAAGAAAGGCAAUGCCAAAGAAUGCUCAAACUACCACAAAAUUGCACUCAUCUCACACGCUAGCAAAGUAAUGCUCAAAAUUCUCCAAGCCAGGCUUCAGCAAUACGUGAAUCGUAAAAUUUCUGAUGUUCAAGCUGGUUUUCGAAAAGGCAGAGGAACCAGAGAUCAAAUUGCCAACAUUCGCUGGAUCAUGAAAAAAGCAAGAGAGUUCCAGAAAAACAUCUAUUUCUGCUUUAUUGACUAUGCCAAAGCCUUUGACUGUGUGGAUCACAAUAAGCUGUGGAAAAUUCUGAAAGAAAUGGGAAUACCAGAUGACCUAACCUGCCUCUUGAGAAAUCUGCAUGCAGGUCAGGAAGCAACAGUUAGAGCUGGACAUGGAACAACAGACUGGUUCCAAAUAGGAAAAGGAGUGCGUCAAGGCUGUAUAUUGUCAUCCUGCUUAUUUAACUUCUAUGCAGAGUACAUCAUGAGAAACGCUGGACUGGAAGAAACACAAGCUGGAAUCAAGAAUACCGGGAGAAAUAUCAAUAACCUCAGAUAUGCAGAUGAGACCACGCUUAUGGCAGAAAGUGAAGAGGAACUAAAAAGCCUCUUGAUGAAAGUGAAAGAGGAGAGUGAAAAAGUUGGCUUAAAGCUCAACAUUCAGAAGACAAAGAUCAUGGCAUCCGGUCCCAUCACUCCAUGGGAAAUAGAUGGGGAAACAGUGGAAACAGUGUCAGACUUUAUUUUUUUGUCCUCCAAAAUCAUUGCAGAUGGUGAUUGCAGCCAUGAAAUUAAAAGACGCUUACUCCUCGGAAGGAAAGUUAUGAGCAACCUAGAUAGCCUAUUGAAAAGCAGAGACAUUGCUUUGCCAACUAAGGUCCAUCUAGUCAAGGCUAUGGUUUUUCCUGUGGUCAUGUAUGGAUGUGAGCUUUGGACUGUGAAGAAGGCUGAGUGCCAAAGAAUUGAUGCUUUUGAACUGUGGUGUUGGAGAAGACUCUUGAGAGUCCCUUCGACUGCAAGAAGAUCCAAUCAGUCCUUUCUGAAGGAGAUCAACCCUGUGAUUUCUUUGGAAGGAAUGAUGCUAAAGCUGAAACUCCAGUACUUUGACUCACCUCAUGCAAAGAGUUGA
rnacentral:lncRNA from 1 species